rnacentral:rRNA from 1 species
CAGCCGCCGCGGUAAAACGUAGGUGGCAAGCGUUGUCCGGAAUUAUUGGGCGUAAAGGGCUCGCAGGCGGUUUCUUAAGUCUGAUGUGAAAGCCCCCGGCUCAACCGGGGAGGGUCAUUGGAAACUGGGAAACUUGAGUGCAGAAGAGGAGAGUGGAAUUCCACGUGUAGCGGUGAAAUGCGUAGAGAUGUGGAGGAACACCAGUGGCGAAGGCGACUCUCUGGUCUGUAACUGACGCUGAGGAGCGAAAGCGUAGGGAGCGAACAGGAUUAGAUACCCCCGUAGUCCCUGUCUCUUAUAC